UACGUAGGUGGCAAGCGUUAUUCGGAAUCAUUGGGCGUAAAGGGCAUGUAGGCGGUUAAAUAAGUGUGAAUUGAAAUACCGGAGCUUAACUCCGUGUAUGGUUUGCAAACUGUUUAGCUAGAGUACGGUAGGGGAGACUGGAAUUCCGCGUGUAGGGGUGAAAUCUGUAGAUAUGCGGAAGAAUACUUGUGGCGAAGGCGAGUUUCUGGACUGUAACUGACGCUGAAAUGCGAAAGUGUGGGGAG
rnacentral:rRNA from 1 species